GUCUUCAAGGUGUAGUGGUCAGCACGCUCGACGCGUAACCGAGAGGUCCAUGGUUCGAUUCCCGGCGAAGGCG
rnacentral:tRNA from 1 species